CGGAUGUACUUGGCUGUGUGAGCAGCUGUCCUCAUUCAAUAUCUGACUCUCGGACUCGUCGUUUCGGCUUCUAAAUCUCUCAAAAUUCUAAAUUCUUUUCGAUUUUAAUCCACCCAAAAUACGUAAGGACUCAACAUGUGUAACGGAUGUGGAUGCUGUGGACCCUGUUUCUGCCCCAAACGCUAUCUAAUCAACAAGGAUAACGCACCCUGUGUUUGGUGUGCUCCGUGCAAAGCUCACUGCUACAACACUCCGCCGAAAUGCUGUUGUUAGGGCCUUCUGGCGGACCCUCCCCUGUAAUCUCUAACUUUCCUGCUUAGUCUAUCGCGCGUGGCUUCUAAGUGACCCUGGAAAAGUCUUUAGAUGGAUGUAAUGGCGCUUGUGAGACACGAUGGACAUGUUGGGUGCCGCAUUUUGGAUGGAAAUCGAAGCAGCUCGGAUCAAGAUGAAUGGCUUUCGUAGAUCCGACUUGACUAAAGCAACACCAUAUAUGUCAGUUCUUUUGGCUCGUUUCGGCUUAAAUUAAAAUAAAUAUUGCAAAAAAAUAA